GGGAUGUAGCUCAGUGGUAGAGCAGUUGCCCAGUAUGCACAAGGCCCUGGGUUUGAUCCCCAGCACCCA
rfam:Ictidomys tridecemlineatus contig095392, whole genome shotgun sequence.